rnacentral:rRNA from 1 species
CCUACGGGAGGCAGCAGUGGGGGAUAUUGCACAAUGGGGGAAACCCUGAUGCAGCGACGCCGCGUGUGGGAAGACGGUCCUCUGGAUUGUAAACCACUGUCCCCAGGGACGAAGAUGACGGUACCUGGGGAGGAAGCUCCGGCUAACUACGUGCCAGCAGCCGCGGUACUACGUAGGGAGCGAGCGUUGUCCGGAAUUACUGGGUGUAAAGGGAGCGUAGGCGGGACUGCAAGUUGGGUGUCAAAUCUACCGGCUCAACCGGUAGCCGCACUCAAAACUGCAGUUCUUGAGUGAAGUAGAGGCAGGCGGAAUUCCUAGUGUAGCGGUGAAAUGCGUAGAUAUUAGGAGGAACACCAGUGGCGAAGGCGGCCUGCUGGGCUUUUACUGACGCUGAGGCUCGAAAGUGUGGGGAGCAAACAGGAUUAGAUACCCUAGUAGUC